GAUGAACGCUAGCGGCAGGCUUAAUACAUGCAAGUCGAGGGGCAGCACAGGUAGCAAUACUGGGUGGCGACCGGCAAACGGGUGCGGAACACGUACGCAACCUUCCUUUAAGUGGAGAAUAGCCCCAGGGAAACUUGGAUUAAUACUCCGUAAGACAAUGGAGUGGCAUCACUCAGUUGUUAAAGUUACGACGCUUAAAGAUGGGCGUGCGGCUGAUUAGGUAGUUGGCGGAGUAACAGCCCACCAAGCCAACGAUCAGUAACUGGUGUG
rnacentral:rRNA from 1 species